AACGCGAAGAACCUUACCUGGGUUUGACAUCCCAUGAAAAGCGCAGAGAUGCGUAAUAGCCGCAAGGCACAUGGAGACAGGUGCUGCAUGGCUGUCGUCAGCUCGUGUCGUGAGAUGUUGGGUUAAGUCCCGCAACGAGCGCAACCCUUUCCCUUAUUUGCCAGCAUUAAGUUGGGCACUCUAGGGGUACUGCCGAUGAUAAAUCGGAGGAAGGUGGGGACGAGGUCAAGUCAUCAUGGCCCUUACAUCCAGGGCAACACACGUACUACAAUGGCCAAGACAAAGCGAAGCGACACCGUAAGGUAGAGCCAAUCGCAAAAACAUGGUCUCAGUUCGGAUUGUGGUCUGCAACUCGACCACAUGAAGUUGGAAUCUCUAGUAAUCGCAGAUCAGCAGGCUGCGGUGAAUACGUUCCCGGGCCUUGUA
rnacentral:rRNA from 1 species